rnacentral:rRNA from 1 species
GAGUUUGAUCAUGGCUCAGGAUGAACGCUAGCGGCAGGCUUAACACAUGCAAGUCGAGGGGUAUUCUAGCAAUAGGAGAGACCGGCGCACGGGUGCGUAACGCGUAUGCAAUCUACCUUUCACAGAGGGAUAGCCCAGAGAAAUUUGGAUUAAUACCUCAUAGUAUAAUGACUCGGCAUCGAGAUAUUAUUAAAGUCACAACGGUGAAAGAUGAGCAUGCGUCCCAUUAGCUAGUUGGUAAGGUAACGGCUUACCAAGGCGACGAUGGGUAGGGGUCCUGAGAGGGAGAUCCCCCACACUGGCACUGAGACACGGACCAGACUCCUACGGGAGGCAGCAGUGAGGAAUAUUGGACAAUGGGCGCAAGCCUGAUCCAGCCAUGCCGCGUGCAGGAUGACGGUCCUAUGGAUUGUAAACUGCUUUUGCACAGGAAGAAACACUACCUCGUGAGGUAGCUUGACGGUACUGUGAGAAUAAGGAUCGGCUAACUCCGUGCC